rnacentral:lncRNA from 1 species
GUAUAAACAUGAACAACAAACAACAAACAACAGGGGGCCCUAUAGAACGUCAUAUAGUAGAUAUAUAAUGUUGAGAAAACAGGAGAUCCUGAAGACCGCCCAAGGGAUCAUAAAAGCCUUAUAGUAUAUACAUGAAAAACAAACUACAGGGGGACUUAUAGAAUUUCCUUUCUCAGAUGCAUAAUUUUUAACAAAAGAGGAUCCUGUAGACCGCCC